rnacentral:rRNA from 1 species
ACGGCACACAGCUCAGUAACACGUGGCUAAUCUGCCCUUGGGACUAGAACAACCCCGGGAAACUGGGGCUAACUCUAGAUAGGUGAAGAACUCUGGAAUGAGUCUUUGCCUAAAUAGGUUCACGUUAUCCUCGUGAACUUGCCCAAGGAUGAGGCCGCGACCGAUCAGGUUGUUGGCGAGGUAAUGGCUCACCAAGCCUUUUACCGGUGCGGGCCGUGGGAGCGGGAGCCCGGAGAUGGGUACUGAGACAAGGACCCAGGCCCUACGGGGCGCAGCAGUCGCGAAACCUUUGCAAUACACGAAAGUGUGACAGGGCUAUCCCGAGUGCCAUCCGCUGAGGAAGGCUUUUACCCAGUCUAGAACGCUGGGGGAAUAAGGAGAGGGCAAGUCUGGUGUCAGCCGCCGCGGUAAUACCAGCUCUCCGAGUGGUGUGGAUGUUUAUUGGGCCUAAAGCAUCCGUAGCUGGCUAGGUAAGUCCCUUGUUAAAUCCACCGAAUUAAUCGUUGGAUCGCGGGGGAUACUGCUUGGCUAGGGGACGAGAGAGGCAGACGGUAUUUUCGGGGUAGGGGUGAAAUCCUAUAAUCCCGGGAAGACCACCAGUGGCGAAGGCUGUCUGCUAGAACGCGCCCGACGGUGAGGGAUGAAAGCUGGGGGAGCGAACCGGAUUAGAUACCCGGGUAGUCCCAGCUGUAGACGAUGCAGACUAGAUGUUUGGACGGCCACGUGCCGUUCUAGUGCCGCAGGGAAGCUGUUAAGUCUGCCGCCUGGGGAGUACGAUCGCAAGAUUGAAACUUAAAGGAAUUGGCGGGGGAGCACCACAAGGGGUGAAACUUGCGGUUUAAUUGGAGUCAACGCCGGAAAU